UUAAGCGACUAAGCGUACACGGUGGAUGCCCUGGCAGUCAGAGGCGAUGAAGGACGUGCUAAUCUGCGAUAAGCGUCGGUGAGGUGAUAUGAACCGUUAUAACCGGCGAUUUCCGAAUGGGGAAACCCAGUGUGUUUCGACACACUAUCAUUAACUGAAUCCAUAGGUUAAUGAGGCGAACCGGGGGAACUGAAACAUCUAAGUACCCCGAGGAAAAGAAAUCAACCGAGAUUCCCCCAGUAGCGGCGAGCGAACGGGGAGGAGCCCAGAGCCUGAAUCAGUGUGUGUGUUAGUGGAAGCGUCUGGAAAGGCGUGCGAUACAGGGUGACAGCCCCGUACACAAAAAUGCACAUAUUGUGAGCUCGAUGAGUAGGGCGGGACACGUGGUAUCCUGUCUGAAUAUGGGGGGACCAUCCUCCAAGGCUAAAUACUCCUGACUGACCGAUAGUGAACCAGUACCGUGAGGGAAAGGCGAAAAGAACCCCGGCGAGGGGAGUGAAAAAGAACCUGAAACCGUGUACGUACAAGCAGUGGGAGCCUCUUAAUGGGGUGACUGCGUACCUUUUGUAUAAUGGGUCAGCGACUUAUAUUCUGUAGCAAGGUUAACCGAAUAGGGGAGCCGAAGGGAAACCGAGUCUUAACUGGGCGUUAAGUUGCAGGGUAUAGACCCGAAACCCGGUGAUCUAGCCAUGGGCAGGUUGAAGGUUGGGUAACACUAACUGGAGGACCGAACCGACUAAUGUUGAAAAAUUAGCGGAUGACUUGUGGCUGGGGGUGAAAGGCCAAUCAAACCGGGAGAUAGCUGGUUCUCCCCGAAAGCUAUUUAGGUAGCGCCUCGUGAAUUCAUCUCCGGGGGUAGAGCACUGUUUCGGCAAGGGGGUCAUCCCGACUUACCAACCCGAUGCAAACUGCGAAUACCGGAGAAUGUUAUCACGGGAGACACACGGCGGGUGCUAACGUCCGUCGUGAAGAGGGAAACAACCCAGACCGCCAGCUAAGGUCCCAAAGUCAUGGUUAAGUGGGAAACGAUGUGGGAAGGCCCAGACAGCCAGGAUGUUGGCUUAGAAGCAGCCAUCAUUUAAAGAAAGCGUAAUAGCUCACUGGUCGAGUCGGCCUGCGCGGAAGAUGUAACGGGGCUAAACCAUGCACCGAAGCUGCGGCAGCGACACUAUGUGUUGUUGGGUAGGGGAGCGUUCUGUAAGCCUGUGAAGGUGGCCUGUGAGGGUUGCUGGAGGUAUCAGAAGUGCGAAUGCUGACAUAAGUAACGAUAAAGCGGGUGAAAAGCCCGCUCGCCGGAAGACCAAGGGUUCCUGUCCAACGUUAAUCGGGGCAGGGUGAGUCGACCCCUAAGGCGAGGCCGAAAGGCGUAGUCGAUGGGAAACAGGUUAAUAUUCCUGUACUUGGUGUUACUGCGAAGGGGGGACGGAGAAGGCUAUGUUGGCCGGGCGACGGUUGUCCCGGUUUAAGCGUGUAGGCUGGUUUUCCAGGCAAAUCCGGAAAACCAAGGCUGAGGCGUGAUGACGAGGCACUACGGUGCUGAAGUGACAAAUGCCCUGCUUCCAGGAAAAGCCUCUAAGCAUCAGGUAACAUCAAAUCGUACCCAAAACCGACACAGGUGGUCAGGUAGAGAAUACCAAGGCGCUUGAGAGAACUCGGGUGAAGGAACUAGGCAAAAUGGUGCCGUAACUUCGGGAGAAGGCACGCUGAUAUGUAGGUGAAGCGACUUGCUCGUGGAGCUGAAAUCAGUCGAAGAUACCAGCUGGCUGCAACUGUUUAUUAAAAACACAGCACUGUGCAAACACGAAAGUGGACGUAUACGGUGUGACGCCUGCCCGGUGCCGGAAGGUUAAUUGAUGGGGUUAGCGGUAACGCGAAGCUCUUGAUCGAAGCCCCGGUAAACGGCGGCCGUAACUAUAACGGUCCUAAGGUAGCGAAAUUCCUUGUCGGGUAAGUUCCGACCUGCACGAAUGGCGUAAUGAUGGCCAGGCUGUCUCCACCCGAGACUCAGUGAAAUUGAACUCGCUGUGAAGAUGCAGUGUACCCGCGGCAAGACGGAAAGACCCCGUGAACCUUUACUAUAGCUUGACACUGAACAUUGAGCCUUGAUGUGUAGGAUAGGUGGGAGGCUUUGAAGUGUGGACGCCAGUCUGCAUGGAGCCGACCUUGAAAUACCACCCUUUAAUGUUUGAUGUUCUAACGUUGGCCCGUAAUCCGGGUUGCGGACAGUGUCUGGUGGGUAGUUUGACUGGGGCGGUCUCCUCCUAAAGAGUAACGGAGGAGCACGAAGGUUGGCUAAUCCUGGUCGGACAUCAGGAGGUUAGUGCAAUGGCAUAAGCCAGCUUGACUGCGAGCGUGACGGCGCGAGCAGGUGCGAAAGCAGGUCAUAGUGAUCCGGUGGUUCUGAAUGGAAGGGCCAUCGCUCAACGGAUAAAAGGUACUCCGGGGAUAACAGGCUGAUACCGCCCAAGAGUUCAUAUCGACGGCGGUGUUUGGCACCUCGAUGUCGGCUCAUCACAUCCUGGGGCUGAAGUAGGUCCCAAGGGUAUGGCUGUUCGCCAUUUAAAGUGGUACGCGAGCUGGGUUUAGAACGUCGUGAGACAGUUCGGUCCCUAUCUGCCGUGGGCGCUGGAGAACUGAGGGGGGCUGCUCCUAGUACGAGAGGACCGGAGUGGACGCAUCACUGGUGUUCGGGUUGUCAUGCCAAUGGCACUGCCCGGUAGCUAAAUGCGGAAGAGAUAAGUGCUGAAAGCAUCUAAGCACGAAACUUGCCCCGAGAUGAGUUCUCCCUGACUCCUUGAGGGUCCUGAAGGAACGUUGAAGACGACGACGUUGAUAGGCCGGGUGUGUAAGCGCAGCGAUGCGUUGAGCUAACCGGUACUAAUGAACCGUGAGGCUUAACCUU
rnacentral:rRNA from 5 species